rnacentral:ncRNA from 2 species
UACUUUCGCAGCGCUUUAGGUUCCUGAUGUUGUCAUUAGGAUUAAAAGGGAAUACAGUGUAAAUCUGUAACUGUCCCGCAGCUGUAAGCGCUAUCAACCGGAGUCCAUUCUUAAAAAGUCACUGUUCGCAUGCGCGGAUGGGAAGACGGGACAAAGGGGCGCAAGUCAGAAUACCUGCCUCAGCAUUAUAUUAUUC